AUGGUAUUUCACUCUGUAAAAUCAGUCAUGAACUCAUGAUUUUCGUAAAUCAGGGUUUGAUUCUCAGGCUUAUUCUUGGUUUGCUUACUAGGGUUUAUUUGCUAAUAGAAUAUAUAUUAUAAUAUAGUUUUGCUAUCAUCACCUAUACUUGCUUUCUGGACCCUCCUUUCUAGAACCUUUUGAUGAUGGGAAACCGGAGUCCAGGUUGUUGUGUCAAAACAGGAUAACGCCACCACACCACUUUUUUAUGGUUCUUAUAUUUUUAAAUUGUUCAAGUUUUCUACUUUUCUGGUAUUGAAAAGCUUGAUUGAAAGUCUUUUAAGUCAUGACAUACAAAGAAUAAUACAUGCAAAAUAAUUUAACUUGUGCAUGUUUAGUUUAGCAUCUUUAAAUUCUAAUGUCAUCAUGUGAUCAUGAUAUCAUGAAGAGUCUCUCUUUCAUAUAAAGACAAGAUCGAAUAGUUAUAAACAAUGUUUUAUUUCAAAGGGGGAAGGAAUUGUGAAUUGUGAUGUUGAAAAUGAAACAUGUCAUUAUCUUAUCUGUCCUUCCAUUACGCUAAUGUUUAUUUUACCUUUGCUAGAAUGUUAGAUAGCGUGGUAGAUUAGUCAAAUAUAUGCAUCAAGUUUCAGUUACACGUUGGAAGAAUUAACUCUAGUUGUUUACUUUAAGCAUCUUAUAAUAUAUUCUAGUCUCAUUAAAAAUUUGUUACUACCAGUUUUGUCAAACUUUAGUUUUUGCAACCUCGGUGUAUCUUUUUCCUCAUCACCAUCAUUUAAUACACGAGGUAAAUAGUUUCCUAUAGUUCAAAAGUAACUUAUUGUUGCUUAAUGCUACAUUAUACUGUUUGAGUGCUAAUAAAUUAUGAAUUCAAAGUUUUGCUUUCUGGACUAUUGUGUAAAGUACUGGCUGAUUGAGCACGUGUUUCAACUUUCACAGGAUGGUGGUUUCUUCCAGAUUCUAUAAACAAGUUGGUCGAACUUUUUGUGAUCUGACCUGCAGAAUGACUAUCUCAUUACGGCCCUCUCUGCUUCUUUCAGGAGUUUUUUACGACGAUGAUAAAAGGUUUUGACAGAUAGCAUCUUUGCUAGCUAGAUAGCGAUACUAUGGGGAAAAAAUGGUGCAAAGGAGCAGGAACCGGAGAGUCUGAACGAGAUGAGCUGUUCCCAGUUUCAACAUAAGCAUCAUUAUUCUUACAAAAAAAUGUCGCUGCUGCUGGGAUUCAAAAUUGUUUAGAAAAAAUGAUUGUUUCCCUAAAAUGAUUUAGUGUGUUCGGUCAAUAAAAGAAACUCUUUUUUAGUUCAACCCAAGCAAUAAAAAUUAGUGGCGUAACAAGCCUUCUCUCUUUGAAAAGGGCAGCAGUGGCAAUGACAUUGCCACAUUGGAGGGAUUGGAAUUUGGAAGUCAGAACUAGGAACCGUAUUUUUUGAUAUCUUGGGGCCAAAGAAAGCCAGAAUUUGAUUCGUCUUCUCGAACCUUGAUGUAUACCUAAUUUAUAAUUUAGUAGCCACAGAGGAAGGAAACUGGGAUUCCGUACACAAAUUAUUCUAUGAGUAUCGUCACGAACCCUGAAAAAGUAUGGUUGGGACUUAACAGCUUGGGAUGAAACUCAAUCACAUAGCCUGAGGGUGUUCAUUAAUUAGAA